UUUGCAUCUGUUUAUCGUCGACAUUGCCCACAAACAUCAAUGUCGAGGUUACAUCUUUGGUGCUAGAUUAAUUUUAAAUCGGAAACAUGUUAUUUGUUUUGAUUGAGCUAACAGGGCCGCAAAGAUUAGAGUUCAUCUUUGUACGGUAGUAAGCCGCUCACACAAA